CUCAGGUCAGUCACCUUCACCCUUAGGGGACAUUGAUAAUUUGAACAACACUUGUUCAAACCGCGAUUGGACGGCAUCGCCACUAAAUUUGAAUAUUCUAGUUAGAAUAUUUUGUUUUUAUAAUGCACACAAACUAAGAAUUUGCAUGCACAGGCAGUAGCCGCCAACUACCAACACCGCCGUGGCAUCCGGUCGAGUCUCGGACUCUCGAGAGUUGCAUCCUUGUCUGACGUCACGUCGUUGUAAAGGAUCGUGUGAAUAAACUUUUCGUGUUUUUGUAUUUUUGUGUUCUCUUUAUGUUGAUCUUGUCAGAUUGUGCUGGCUAUAUACCAGCACGAGCUCUUUCAUUCAAGAGUAUAAACUUUAUUACAGUUUCAGCAGUGUGUUUCUAUUAUAGGAAUCAUUUGGAUGGACUUGCCUUCACAUUUUCACUUGAAGAUAUUGUCAAGGAGGACCUGUUACCAAUGUUCUUCAAGGUGGUCUAGGCUUUCAUAUGAAGUGGAAGAGGCUUCAGUUGACCUAAAAACAAAGAAAACUGUAGUGAGUAGUACACAUAAAUGUGAACAAGUCCUGAAGUUUUAGGCAGCCAGAAAUGUCACUAUUUGUGCUGUCGGAUCCACGAGUUGAGAGGUGAGAAGCUGCUUCAUAAGUAAAAGGUACUACAAGCAGAUGAGGACAGACUUGGUAUAUACCUUGUGGGUAUUAAAAGUGAACACUUUGACAGAUGGUUUAAUAAUCGCAUAAAUAUAAAUACUCCUCUUGUGUUAUGUUGGCCAUCAUUGACCUAAUUUUUUAUUUCAUUGUUACUUUCACUGUCUAUGUCAAAUACUUUAAGCUUUAUGAUAAUUAGGAAAAAUAUUUUAAAAAUAAAAAAAUUAAUUUUCAACUUUUACCUGGUCCAAAGUCUAGGUCU